rnacentral:rRNA from 1 species
UACGGAGGGUGCAAGCGUUGUUCGGAAUUAUUGGGCGUAAAGGGCAAGUAGGUGGUCUUGCAAGUCUACUGUGAAAUCCCUGGGCUUAACCCAGGAAGUGCGGUGGAUACUGCAAGACUAGAGUACCGGAGGGGUGCGUGGAAUUCCCAGUGUAGCGGUGAAAUGCGUAGAUAUUGGGAGGAACACCAGAGGCGAAGGCGGCGCACUGGACGGUAACUGACACUCAAUUGCGAAAGCGUGGGGAGCAAACAGG